AUUUUAUCUAUGUUUUAGGGUUAGGAUUUUGAGUCUUUAUGUUAUUUCUCGAGUCUUUUUAGUGUCUUUUUAGGUAUUCUAUGCAAUGGGACAACAAUGGAGAUAAGGAGACAUUUUAGAGAAAAAGCUAAGGAAAAGGAAGCUAAGCAUGAUUUUCGAUCGACACCAGUUUCGGCCCAGCAAAGUCCAUGACGCUUUCAAGUUUACAGAAGAAGAAAUUUGCCCCAGAAGACUUCCCUAUUUACAUUAUUAGACCCAGGACGUUUUAU
rnacentral:sRNA from 1 species